GUCGAGGGGUAACAUAGUUGCUUGCAACUGAUGACGACCGGCGCACGGGUGCGUAACGCGUAUAGUACCUACCUUAUAGUAAGGGAUAGCCCAGAGAAAUUUGGAUUAAUACCUUAUAGUAUCUUAAGUGAGCCUUCACUAAGGAUUAAAGAUUUAUCGCUAUAAGAUGGCUAUGCGUUCUAUUAGCUAGUUGGUAUGGUAACGGCAUACCAAGGCUACGAUAGAUAGGGGUCCUGAGAGGGAGAUCCCCCACACUGGUACUGAGACACGGACCAGACUCCUACGGGAGGCAGCAGUGAGGAAUAUUGGACAAUGGAGGCAACUCUGAUCCAGCCAUGCCGCGUGUAGGAAGACUGCCCUAUGGGUUGUAAACUACUUUUAUAGAGGAAGAAACCAUUUCACGUUGUGAAAUGCUGACGGUACUCUACGAAUAAGGAUCGGCUAACUCCGUGCCAGCAGCCGCGGUAAUACGGAGGAUCCAAGCGUUAUCCGGAAUCAUUGGGUUUAAAGGGUCCGUAGGCGGUUUAGUAAGUCAGUGGUGAAAGUUUUCGGCUCAACCGGAAAAUUGCCAUUGAUACUGCAAGACUUGAAUUAUUGUGAAGUGGUUAGAA
rnacentral:rRNA from 1 species